rnacentral:rRNA from 1 species
UCGAACGGAGUUGUCACCAUGAAGUUUUCGGAUGGAUUGGUAACAACUUAGUGGCGGACGGGUGAGUAACGCGUGGGUAACCUGCCUCAUACUGGGGGAUAGCAACUGGAAACGGCUGCUAAAACCGCAUAAGAUCGCAUCACCGCAUGGUGAGGCGGUUAAAUAUCGAAAGAUAGGUAUGAGAUGGGCCCGCGUCUGAUUAGCUAGUUGGUGAGAUAAGAGCCCACCAAGGCGACGAUCAGUAGCCGGCUUGAGAGAGUGACCGGCCACAUUGGGACUGAGACACGGCCCAAACUCCUACGGGAGGCAGCAGUGGGGAAUAUUGCACAAUGGGGGAAACCCUGAUGCAGCGACGCCGCGUGAGUGAAGAAGUGCUUCGGCAUGUAAAGCUCUAUCAGCAGGGAAGAAGAUGACGGUACCUGACUAAGAAGCCCCGGCUAACUACGUGCCAGCAGCCGCGGUAAUACGUAGGGGGCAAGCGUUAUCCGGAUUUACUGGGUGUAAAGGGAGCGUAGGUGGCAGAUCAAGUCAGAUGUGAAAGCCCGUGGCUCAACUGCGGGGUUGCAUUUGAAACUGGUUUGCUAGAGUGCAGGAGAGGUAAGUGGAAUUCCUAGUGUAGCGGUGA